GGCGGAGGGAAGCUCAUCGGUGGGGCCACGAGCUGAGUGCCUUACGUCACUCUACCCCAUGUCCCCUGGGAAGGUCUGAGACUAGGGCCAAAAAGCGGCCCUAACAGGGUCCUCCCUGAGUUUCGGGGGGGUGAGUUCCCAGAGAAUGGGGCUCCGCGCGAGGGCAGACUGGGCAGGAGAUGCCAUAGACCCCGCCUCUCGGGGAGGGGCCUGGCGGAUGCCUCCUUAGCCGGAGCUUGGAACAGACUCACGGCCAGCAAAGUGAGUUCAAUGGCUGAGGUGAGGUACCCCUGCUUUGGGGGCCUCAUAACCCAAUUCAGACUACUCUCCCCCGCC
ensembl:ribozyme RNaseP_nuc Nuclear RNase P